rnacentral:misc_RNA from 1 species
CAACGGUGCCGUUUGACGACCUCCCGCUCCCACCCGCUCUCUUUUCUUCUCUUUCUCCGCGGCAGCACGCUGCCCUCGCUCAACUACCUGUUGUGACGUCCAGCGUACUCGACGCACCGGGCAAAUUCGCGGUAAAUACGUAGCGUCGUGCCGGCGUUUAUUUAGUAGGUUUCUUCCGAUUAACGAACGAUCGUUGAACGCGAGACGCGGUAUACGCGUUGAUCGAAGAGAUAUUAUAUCGAACGCGUCUUGCGCGCUGUCCAGAAAGUUUUCGACAACGAAACUCGCCGCGUCGCAACGACUGCCACGGUGAAGGAGAUCUCGAUUGUGAAGCCGCGAAAGGCGGCUUGUGUCGCGGGCUCUGCUCCCCCUCCACGACGGAGACUAGCACGAGGAAGCGAGAGAGAGAGAGGAGCGAAAGAGGGAGAAAGAGAGUAAGCAGGACAGCACGCGCGUACGCGAGAUGGAGAGAGAAGGAGUCGACGAGAGAAAGGACUCAGGCGGGCUCCUAUCAAGAAGUUAGUCGCGCGCGGCGAACCUUCCGUCCCACCAUCCGAAUGUAGCGCCGAACAUAGCUGUGAAUGCAGCAGCUGCCUGUCGAGCGAUGGCGGCGCGAUAAUCGCAAUCGUGUAGUUUCGAAAUAUAUCGAAGAAAGAGAAACAGGAGUUUGGAGAGCGGGACGACGACGUGCGAAACGACGUGCGCACCAUCGCGCGCGGUCACGUGGAUCGCGAACAAAAGGCGGAACGCGUCGCAUUCAUUGACGAGUCGUCGCGUCGACGCCGCGCGCCGGUGGCAUCGUGUUAUGUAGCGGGAGUUCGCGCGUUCCGCCGUUUGCCCGAGUAUUUGCAUCGCGUGUGUAUAAACAGACUCUACCGUAACGACAUCAUAAUAUAAGGUGAUUAAGGGCAAUCUCAUGUGUUUUCAGCAUCGCAACAAGUACAUCGUUCUCGAAGAAGAGCGUCUACAGUUGCGAGAGAAGGUGCGAGAGACGUUUUCGCUGCGAAAGUAUACUUAAAGCAUCGAGGCAAGUGCGUAUCCCCUUCCCCCCCCCCACCUCCCCGCCGUCGCAUCGUUUGUGAAACAAGUGUCUGAAACCGCGAGAGACAGAACAUCGAUCUUGACCGCGGUCAAGUCCGGCCCCCGGGGGUCCCGCGAGCGCGGCCAGAUGCUUUCUUGUCGGAAGUCGGAUGUGAUCAUCGGCAGACCAACGGGGUGGAUGCGGAGGAUGCUCGACGCGCAGCUAGCGGCGAAGUGGCCGGAGGAAGACGUGGUCGCGCGGCGAACAGCGCGCGUAAACAUCAACCACCUCGGUGGCAAUCAUUAAGAACUGGCUUAUCCUGCGGUGGAUUUAGGGGGCUGUAUGGAGGCUGGGGGGCUCCUGCCCCGUCAGCCCCCGCAAGGCCCCCCGGCGUCGCCCCCGGUAACAUCAACGUGUGCGCGGGCCAGGGUCCGAACGGGCACGCCGGAAACGUCCUUGGUCAAUCAGCGGCCGCCCUCCACGAUUUGAACGCGGCCGGUCAGCUGGGCUUAGCCGGCCAGCAACAGCUACACCAACUGCAGCAGCAGCAUCAACAACAUCAAGCGCAGCAGCAGCAACAACAACAACAGCAAAUGGGCCAGGCACCCGGCAUGGGUGAGGUUGUCACCCCGAAGAGGCAGGCGGUCGUGGACCGUCUGCGACGCAGGAUCGAAGGUUACCGACGCAGGCAGAUCGACUGCAUCCCUAGAUUCGAUCAGAGCUUCAACGGAUUGUGCGAGCAGAAUAUACAGGACACCCUCGUGCUGAAGCAACGUUUUCUCGAGAACAAGGCGAAGCGGCAGGCCAAGAAGACGGACAAGAAGCAGAACGAUCCGGUCGGCCUCUCCAACGUUCACAUGCAGCAGAAAUUCCUGAAGAGGACGGCCGAGGAGUUAGAGCCAGCCACUGGCGCUAGUGGCGACGGUGGUUUCGGCGAGCCGCCGGUCAAGCUGCAAUGCACGCAGCCGCCUCACCAGCAUCAGCAGGGUCCGGGCGGUGGUGGUGGCGGUGGGCCUCAUCACGGCCACGGCCAGCAUCAGCCGGGCAACGGCGCGAAUUCGGCGGGUCCGACGCCCGGCGGCGGGGGCGGCGGUGGCAACGGUGACGGAAACGAGGGUCUCACCAAGUUUCAAGUGCAAAUUGUCCAACAGCUGGAGUUUACGACCUCGGCGGCGAACAAUUCGCAAGCGCAGGCAAUUUCUACGAACGUAACGGUAAAAGCGCUAACGAAUGCGUCGGUGAAGAGCGAUCUCCUGAACGCGUCUUCCUCGCCGAAGCCCGGCCCGGACGCGUCUGCGUCUAGACCGCAACCCGGAAACAGCAGCGGUCCCAACGGUCCCGGUCCAGGUGCCGGCGGCGGCGGCGGCAACGGAAACGGCGGUGGCGGCAUCGGCUGUGUCGAUAUCGGUAAUCUGGUCGAGUGCAAACAGGAACCCGACAACGAGUUCGUCGACCUGGAGCAGUGCGCCGCGGCCUUGGAGAAGGACGCCGCGGCGAACGGCACCGGAUUUCCCGGCUUUUCCGAAUUUAUGGGCGACGACACCAACGACGAAAUUAUCACAUCGGACGCGUUCAAGGAUCUCAUCUCCGAGAUAUCGGAUUUCCCGCCCGAGUUUAUGAAAGACUUCGAUUUCGAGGACAAGAGCGUCGAUACGUUGACGAACAAUGCUGCGGCCGUGGCCGCGGCGGCGGCAGCGGCGGCUGCCGCAGCCAAUAAUAGCAACAAUACUAACAACGGGCUCUCGACGACGAACAACGGGCAGAUCAAAAUUGAAGACGACAAAGAUGCGAUUCAUCAACAGCAGCAGCAGCAGCAGCAGCAGCAGCAGCAGCAGCAGCAACAGCAGCAGCAGCAGCAACAGCAGCAGCAGCAGCAGCAGCAUGCCAAUGGCGUAAACAACAGCGUCAACAGCAACAAUGUUAACAACAACAACGGCAACGCGAUGCCCGCAAACUCGAGCCCGGGCGCUCUCGGUACCUCACAAUAUUCACCCGCCCGACUUCCUUACUCCGGGCUGGAUUUCAAAUCCGAGAUGAGUCCCGCCGCGCAGACGCUCAAGCAAAUGGCCGAGCAGCAUCAGCACAAAAGUCAGCAGCUCGGUCUGGGCGGAUUCAAUCCUACGGCAGCCGCAGCGGCCGCAGCGGCGCGAAACCCGACAGCGAGGUCUCCGUACGCCGAAUUUUCUCAGUUCAGCGGCGCGUCCGAUUAUCUCGGCAGUCCCGGCAGCACAGGUCCGGCCGGUGGACAGACCCAAGCUACGGCCCCGGGAACCGGCUCGUAUCACAAAAAUAACGGCACGCCGACCUUCCAGAGUCAACAGACCAACGAUAUGUUUGUCAAUUCACAGUCUCAGUUCGCCGCGGCGGGUUUGACGGACAUGAAAAGGCCCCAGCCGGCUGCGACCGGCGGCAAACCCGGCAUGCUCGGACCCACCGGCGGUUACAAGCAACAGUAUUCGCCAUACGGCAGUCCGGGCUCGAUGCCGAAUCACGGCAGCCCGGGAUAUCUGCCUCCCAGAGGAUCGCAAGGAGGCGGGCCCAAUCAAACUGGCUCGCAGGGACCCUUCAACACGACUUCCACACCACCGAGGCCUCCUUCUGGACCCGGCACUUCGACCCUGCAGAUCAAUCAGGCGCAGCAACUGCACAUCGGCAACCAGAUACAGGUAUCGGCCGGCCAGCAUAUGCAACUCUCAGGCGAUCUGAAGCCGGUCGUGUCUGUCGCGGCGCAGCAGGGCAUGUACUUCAAUCAGCAGCAGACGCAGAAUCAGGCCGGGCCCGCCGCCAACCAGACCGAUACCUAUUGCUCGGUCUCGCAGUCGCAGACCAUCAAUUUCACGCAGCAGAGCCUGAGGCAGAGGGCGGCGGCGGCCGCGGCUGCAGGCGGAGUGCCGCAGCCUGGAGCCGGUGGUCCAGGAGCGCGGGGCCAUCCGCAGCAGGUGCCGCCGGGCCAGGUCGAUCAGCAUCAGCACGCGAAGCUUCUCCAGCAACAGCAAUUGAUGCGCGCGCAACAGGUAAUGCAACAGCAACAACACAUGGCAGGCGGGAUGAGCGUGAGACCGCCACCACCCGAGUACAAGACCGCGGCCCAGGCGCAGAUGAUGCACGCUAGCAUCGGAAUGGGCCAGCAAGCGAGAUUCGCGAAUGCCGGACCCUUGCGCAGAGUUACGCAACAACCCAUGCCGCCGUCAGCACCCCCGAAAUAUAUGAGAAUCGAUCGUGUUCAGUCAGCGAAUGAAAAGAGCCAGUUAACAUAUAAUAAGAUUCGUUGUUUGAUGAUGAAUAACAAUGAAGGUCCGAUGAUGAGGCCGCAAAUGGCGCAACAGCAGCAGCAGCAGGCGUUACACGCGGCCGGCGGUAAUAUGUACAUGGGCGGCGGUGGGAUGGCCGCCAUCGGCAGUAUGCAUCAGAUGCAUCAACGGCUAGGGUACCCGAGAACCAACAAUCAACGGCCGCCCAACGUCAGCGUCGGCCCUCCGGACGGCCUUGGGAACAGCAUCGCGGGCCGCGGCGCCCAGCAGGAGUGGCGGCACGUCCUGAUGCAGCAACAGCAGCAGCAGGGCUUUCAGGCGCAGAUGCGAUCGCAAUUCAACCAGCAAGGUCACCAAAGCGGCUUCGGCAUGAGUGGCACGGGCGGCACAAUGCAAAUGACCGCGGCGCAGAUGCAACAUCAGCAGUUAAUCCGCUCACAAAACGGCGGCAUAGCCGGCACGGGAAUGGCUAACAACACGCAGAUGCAGCAACUGUUGACACAACACCAACAACAGACACUUGCUAUGCAACAACAACAAAACAAUAAUCAGAUGUCAUUGCAGAUGCAGAUGUCACAGACAUCCUCCGUUAAUUCGGUCAACGUCACCGGAACUGGUUCUCCGUUGCAUCCACAUCAGCAAUACGGAACGGGUAGUCCGGGAGUGCGCAGUUUACCGCCGCAGCAGCAGCACACUCAACCACCACCACCACCACCGCCCACCACUACGGAUCCGUCCGUGGCGGCUGCUGACUUUAGCCUCGAAUUCCUGGAAAAUCUUCCUACGGACACGUCGAACUUCAACGCUCAAGAGCUGCUUAAUUCUCUUGACCCGGGCGGUUUCAAUCUCGAUAUUUUGUAAUGAGACCAUGCCUGCGCUGUGCGGUUGAUUUUAGAUGUCGAUAUUGGGCGCUAUGUCGAUUUGCAAUGUCGCACACGAGAUCAACCAUUCUUAAUGAAAUAUGUACUUGGCACAGUGAUGCGGAUGAGUUUUACUUCGUCUGUCCGCGUAUCAAUUUGUUUGUUAAUACAUUAUAUUAUAUAAAAAGAUAUCGCUGUGUCUCUAUAUCUAUCUGACGAAAAUCUCUUGUACAAAGUAUUUGAUUUAUUUAAACUAAUUGAAUUAAACGAAAGCAAUAAGUAGCAUGUUUUUUUAAUUUUUUUUAUUUUUCUGCUUUUAAAGAUGAAAAUGAAGAUAAGAACGGUUAUACGCGACACUAUUCGUUCCAAGUACUUCCUUACAUUUUGACAGUUACCAACCGGUGCGACAGCGUCCCAAAUCGGUCGUAGUGCAUUCUCGGUCGUCGCUUCCGCGGCCGCCGACUAUUCUCUAGGCAAUCAUGUUUUAGUAAAAUUUAAUUUUGUAAUAAUCCGCCGCGAGGCGAAAGGAGAUAAACCUACAGAGAUGUGGUAGCGUGGGAUAUUAAGAGUUCGCCAUGCCUGACUGUCUCGAGAACGAUCGAUAAAUUACCGAGUGCUCGUGUCGACGACACUGCGAUGACCUCGACGGGCACUCUACGAGACGAUUCUCCUCUCUCUUGAUUUUUCACGUCGAAAUCCACGAAUAUAGAUAGAGAUAUUGAUAUAAAGGCCGAUUAUAGUUUACUCGAUUGAACUUACUCGGUCGCGAAAAUUGGUUACCUUGCGCCGUCUCUUAAACACGUCCAAAUUUUCGGACGGACGAGCUCGGCCGGGCGUUAAUACUUGAUUUAUAAGAAUAAUAAUGUAAUAAUAACGGUUAGAAAAUAGCAUAUUUAAUUAUGUCAUUACUGACAUAUUUAUACAAUUAACAGCAAGUCAAUUAUCAAACAUUCGAUUUUAUGAGUUUUUGCGACGCGAAAUGCCAAGUCAACGGCAAAUCGCGUCAAUCCGGUCGAUUAUAUCUGGCAGAUUCUUAUAUGUGAAAGACAGGACGGGGAAACUUCCUCUUAAACUGCUAAUGCAUUACUAGCAUUAAUAUGAUAUAUAAAAAGAAACCUUCAUUGUACAUAGAUAUUGACAACUAGAGAAAUUCGAGACGUUAAGACCGCACAGUUUAGCUGAGUAUAUAAAAAAUAAGAAACCUAUAAUAUAGAUGAAUAUUAUUAUAAGUAGUGAUUAUAUGACGGUAAUACGGUGAUGUAUGCGGAAAUGCGUGCAAAAGGAAUUAGUGCGAGACUGAGAAGGGAGAGUAUGGUGAAAGGCGUGAAACGAAUGUAUCAGCGAUAGAGCACAUUUGCUAUAAUCGAUUAUAUUUAUUAAGUUUUAAUUAUCUGAAUGUGCUGUAUCGCGGCCGCACACAAAUCACGGUAAAAAAAAAAAGUAGAUUCCGUUUUCGAUGCGGCGAACUACUCGGUGUUUUUCGGAAAAACAAAUAUUUCUCAGAUUUUUUUUCACGCGGAGUGUAUCGUCGAAAUAUUUACCCUUUCUUUUUACCUUAUUAGACACAAUAAUUAACGUAUUUCGGAUUUUUUUUUCAACUUGCGAAUAACAAAUAAAACCGAUUGCUCUUAAAUUCUGUGCUUUAUGUUGUCGUUCGUAUACGGAAUCGUUAAUAAUUUUCACAAUGUAGUUCGAUGCUACAAGAAAAGGAAUCUGCGACUAUUCUUCCAAAUAGCGAUACAUUCCAUAGAUAACAAAAAAAGGAUAGCGAUCUGUGGUUCGUCUAAUCAAAAGUACCGUUUUUAAAGAGCAAAAUUCACGGCAGAGAGGAAUAUUAAUAUUGUAAUAUAAGAGACGCAGAUAUUGAAUUCCGUGCUUAAUAUGUAGACAGAAAGCACAUCCUCGACCGUUCGCCGAAAGUGUGCAUGAAGACUUCCGAUUGGAUUUUAUUGUCGCUUGUCGCGAUCUUCGCUAAAAGGUAGCGAGUCUCGCGUCGAGUGGAUUAGGAAAUAAUAAUAAUCAUUUUUUAAAUUCUCAUUCGGGCAGAGUGAUGCUGUCGUCUUGUAAAAUAUUGGGGCCACGAAACAUAAUCUAAAAAAAAAAGGGGAACGAAGGAGACAGUUGCUCUAAUUCUCACGUCAAUACCUUUGUAAAAUGAGAAAAUCGCCAUUAUACUGAUGUUUGUUUGUCGUUUUGUACGUUUCACACGAGCGAGGGGGGGGGGGAAAUGGGGAGGCGGAACUGCGCAUUGUUAUAGGAAAGAGCAUCAGGGACCAACCAAGAGAGCAAAGUGCGUGAUGUCGAUUGUCACAGUGGGUCGUUGUCUCUUUUUUUUUUUUUUUUUUCCGUGCAGAUAUAAUCGGAGGUGUCGAUAAGUCGCAGUGCCUAAAAAGAAUUUAACCCGAGUUUGUUACCGAGUUGUUCGAAAAUUAACAACGGUUUUCAGCAUACGCUCGCAAAGCUUGUACAGGAAUUUACGCACUUACGCACAGACGGAAAUCGUGACAUGACGCAUCGUUGAAGCUUUGACGUUUACACUGUCGACAGUCGAUCGUGGCGGAGCACGACAUAAUCGAGGCGAUGAUUGCGACGUGUUAAUUUCUCAACGAUAAACUUGGUUGGGGCGCAUAUAUAUCGCAUUAUUUAUAAAUAUUUAUAAAAGAAACAUUAUAUAACACGGGCAUUUCGUACGUAGAAUAAAUUCCAUGUUGAAUUUCGAAUUGUUAUUAAUAAAAGCGUUGAGUUCCUACAAAA